AGAAGCAUUUCAAGUGGCGACACCCUUUCAAGAUAAACCAGCGUAAUUCAGUAAGUUGGAAAUAGAAAUAGGUAACCUUCAACCCGUGCUUCAGAGAAGUUGAGACUUUGGAGAUGAACCAUUUGCUGCAACAAACAUCUGGAAUUAUCAUCAAUGAUGUAGUACCAGUUAUCUCAAAAAUAAAUAAUGAUUUGAGCCCUUGUAUCCAAUUAAUAUUCUCCAGAAACUCACAGCCCCUUAAGAUAAGCAUUGCAAGCUCUUGCAUGUGUGAAAAGGAUUCUGGUAGAGAUUUGAGCAUGGGCUUGAAGAUGCCAAGAACAUUGAGACCAUUCAGGAUACGAAAAAAUGCAUCCGGAACUUCAUUGCCUAGAAAAUUGCCAUGAAGAAAUAAUGAUGGGAUUUUCUCUGAUUUGCUGCUAUAUCCAACUAUUCUUAUCACGCCAUCAAUCAGUGCGAUGUUCCCAAAUCCUUCCCAAAUUUUGUCCUUCAAAGCAGAAAACAUUGAGCAACUCUCCGUACCUAUAAAUCUUUGGGAAUUUCUACUUGAAUAAUGUCCUCCAUCUCUGUUCUUGUGAUAAAUUUCUUCAUAUCUGAUCCACCAAUAAGGUACUUUCAUUGUACAGCCCACCAUUGCAACAUAGUUGGAUUGCACAUUUUUGGAAAAGAAUCCUUGAAUCAUGUAGACUUCUUCAUAGGUAGUAAGAACAAUUCAAAAGUAACUUAAAUUCAUCAAAGAAAUUGGGAACAAGAGGAAAAGAAGUAGGACUUCUUCUCGGGUUGGAUUCCCACGUGGGCAGGAAUUCUUUUACCUCUUGAACUCUUCCCGCAAGUUCUUUUCCUCCUAGGACGCGUUUUUAGACUUCUUCUAGGUUUUUUCCUCUUAACCGCAUGUUGUCUUUCUCUUGAAAUGGAAUUUUUCAAGAAAUUCAAGAAGAGAAAUGGUUUAGGAGUGGGACUCCUCAUGGGGGAAAGAUUCCCACGCGGGCAGGGCUCUCCUGUCCAGUUCCUUCUCGGCCAUGUGUGUGGAGCAUGUCGUGGGGCCCUCAAGGCCAAGUAGGCCAAGACUAACUUCCUUUUCGGCCAAGACUUGGCCUUUGUCCUUGCCAUACAAUCUCCCAAGCCUGCGGGUUCUCAAGUGUACCUCAAGCCCACUUUCUUGAACAAUCUUGGGCCUUUCUUGAUAUUAGGCCAGUAUAAAAAACCAAUUUAUGUUGAAAGUCAAAUCCACGUUGAAGUUGGAGUCGGGGAAGUCCUUGCAAGAGGAGGAUUCCUCUUUUCGGUGGGAAUCAUUCUCAUCGAGGGAUUCCUCCUGUCCGCAGGAAUCCUUCUCAGUGAGGGAUUCCUCCUUCCCCUGGGAAGUUGCUAUCCUGGUGGUUGCUUCUAGCUUGUAGGAUAUAUCUCCUGUGCCUUUGGGAAUUUUUUUGGCUUAGUUGUGCUCACAUCAAGCACCUUUGCUUUCCUUGUAGAUACCUUUAAAUAAUCCUUUUAAAAUCUGGAUUUCUAACUUGUCUAUUCAAAAGAGAGAAUGUCUCCGUUGCAGACAAGGGUUUCAUCUCCACUGCCUUCAAGUAAAGACCAAUAGGAUUUUCAGAGUAAUCUAUGGUGGUGACUAAGACUGUAAUGAAGGCUGCUUAAAAUCAAGAACCAAGGAUUCAAAUCCUGAUACAAUUUCAUUUACUUUCAUCCCCUUAUAAACUCCAUCCAAUAUUAGAAGACAUCUCUUCUUAUGAAUAGCUGCUGAUGGUUUCUGUUUCAGAUAAUCUUUUCUUUGCAUUUCCUCAUCAUCCGCAUCCGACUCCUCAGUUGGCAGACAUACAGGCAACUGAGAACCAAUACUCUCACGUGGAGAUUUCUUGUCAUGUUUUCUGCUCAUAGAAAGCCAAAAACAUAAAUCAAACGGACUUUUUUCCUCUACAAGAUCAUGAACCUUCUUUGCCAUCCAUGUUUUCCUUAUUCCUGGUUUCCCAACAAGACACACUACUAUGACAUGGUCAGCAUCCAGUAUGAAUUGUAUGCGCAAACCCAGUGUGUCCCCAUUGGCCAUGGUUGGCCCUGUUGCAAAAUAUUUUAUGACAGAAGUUACAACUUAAGAUUACAGGAAUCACGGUAAGAAUGGUGAAAGAGGGUGUACCUAAGAGUAGGAGGGGGAGAAUGCCCAAAAUUUGAUGACUUUUUUACAUGCUUCUUUCUCUUUGUUUGGGCAAUACAAAACUGGACUAUGACCAUAAGUUCUGGAAUUGAGAAACAAUGAUGACAGUCAGGCCUGUCUUGGGUUGCCGAGGUUCCCUCCCCAAACGAAACACAUGGCCUCUCAGAAAACAAAUGAAAUUACACUUGAAUGAAGACUUUCAGAACUUUGAGAAGUAUCUCCAGUAGAUCCAUGACGUAAUUCUACCAGCUUUGCUUGAUAAUUUGGUGAAGAUGAGGAACUCUGUCUCCACACUCGAAAUCCACAAGACAAGUGAUGCUACUAUCAGCAACUCAGAUCUGGACGAUCAACUCAAGGAAUAGGAGCUGGAAAUCAACAAGCAGAUGCGAGCACUUCUCCUUCCCAACCUCGACAAUAUUCUGAUAGAAAUUGAGGAGGCUGAGAAAGCAGAGGAAGAUCUUCGUGCAGCUGCACAAGGUAGAGAAGCCACUGAAGAAGCUCGUACCGCCGCCACGGAAGCCUGCGAUAGAAGCUUUGGAAGAAGCCUGGCAAGCUGAACGAAAAGCUCUCGAGUCUGAACGCCCGGGCCUAUGAAAAACAGACAGAUGAUAAAACAUCUGCCUUGCAUACCAUUCAGAAGAUUCAAAUCCAGAAUGUUUAUUGAGAAAGAUUACCACGGAGUUGAAAGGGAAUCUCAUCAAAUUGCUUCGCAUCACAAGCCAGAUGAUGCUCAAACCCAACCCUCAAAGAUCACAGCUGCAAACGAGCAGAAAGAAGAUGAUCAGGAAUGGUUGGUCAAGUGGUCAGAUCUCCAUCUGCAGGAUGAAAAUUUUUGCGAGAGCUCGGCCUUCAAAGCGAUUGAGGAGCAAUAUGUAAAACUGGAACCUAUUUUGAAGGUAUGUUUACUAUUUUUGGUCAUUUUACCAGAUAAUGUCGUCAUAAAGAAAACUGCUAUAAUCUACUGGUGGAUUGGAGAGGGAUUUUUAGUAACAGAACCACGUUCAACAAAGACAGUGAAGGACACUGCAAAUGAGUUGUUGGAGGAGCCCAUGCCGAAGGGCUUCAUUGAGCCUGUCAACAAGAAGAUAAGCCCCAUUGUGCAGUGAUUUCGAAUGAACCCUUUUUGUGCACCUUGUGCUGCUUAUGUUGGUCUAGAAGAAAAAAUUCUUUGAUAUUGAUUCUGUUGGGAACUUCCAAGCAGAUUGUUUUACACACUCCAAAAGAGCAUGCCUGGUUAGAUCUGAGCAAUGUUCUUCCCAGUAUAAAUUAAGAAAUAAGAGCCCUGAAUAUCUGCAGACCUUAUUCAAUGUGAAUAAAUCCUAUAUUGACUUGAAGAGUUUCUGGCUGUCAAGAGCCAAAUAUCUGAAUGUUCUUCAUCUGGGUCGGUGGCAACUCUCCUCCAAGAAUUACAUUGAAGUGACCAACACAGAGUUCUUGAGAACACUGGGUGAUUUGAAACAUUUGAGGUACAUAAACUUGCAAGGAAUAUCUAGAAUUCAUGAGCUUCUAUCAUCAAUUUCAAACUUCGCCACUUGAAGAUCCUGGAUCUUAGAGCCUGCCGCAAUCUGGAGAAACUUCCUUCUGGAAUAUCCUUGCUUGAAAACAUGGAAUAUUUAGACAUGUUCAAGUGCCAUCUGAUAGGCAACAUAACAUGCUUGUGGGCAACACUCACAAAACUCCAAAGUACUCAAGGGGUUUGCCAUUUGGAAUCCUAAAGCCAAUGGACAAAGUAUAAGUUAUCUCAGUUGACAAAACUUAGCAAGUUGAGAAAGUUGAGCUUGAACAUAUAUGAAAGCAUGGAUGAUGACAUAGCAGAGCGUGAAUUAGAGCAUUUGGGAAGUUUCAUUCCCUGACAUGGCUAGGAGUUCCUCCAUCAAAAUCUCGCAAAGCUAGCACUAAAUUAGCAGAGGCAAUACUAUGUCACAUCUUCCGCCCACGUUAGAGAAACCGGAUCUUUGUUGCUUCCCUUAUUACGAAUUGCCCAGCUGGCUACAAGGAAUGGAGACACUCAAAAAACUGUACAUCAGAGGUUGACAACUUCCUUCGAUGACAAAUUAUAGGAUUCAUGGAAUUAGCAUUUUACGUCUCAAGUUUCUGAUUGACUUGGAGAUAACCUGGCCUCAGCUUCCCUGGCGUUGGUUUGCUUUGAAAAGGUUAAUUGUCCUAAACUCGACGGUUGUGGAGAGUGGAGAUAGGACCCACCAGGAAGCCUCUCCCAAGCUUAAUAAUUCUCUUACAAAUGACCCUUGCAAACUCAAGAUUGUUAAUUUCUUUCCAAAAGAGUCAAAGAAAAAGUGUUUCUAUUUCUUAGAAAAUACAAAAAAAAAAAAAAAAAAAAAAA